rnacentral:rRNA from 1 species
GUCUUUUUGAUUUUUAUAAAAAGUUUAACCUGCCCAAUGAAUAUUAAAUGGCUGCAGUAUUUUAACUGUACAAAGGUAGCAUAAUCAAUAGUUUCUUAAUUAGAAGCUGGAAUGAAAGGUUGGACAAAAUAAUAUCUGUCUCUUUAUAAAUUUUUUAGAAUUUUAUUCUUAAGUUAAAAAGCUUAAAUUAAUUUAAAAGACGAGAAGACCCUAUAGAGUUUUAUUUUUUAUUAAAUAUAAAAUUAUUUGAAUAGUUUAAUUAAUUUUUAAUAAAAAAUUUUGUUGGGGUGAUAAAAAAAUUUAAUGAACUUUUUUUUUAUAUUAACAUAAAUUAAUGAAUCUAUGAUCCAUAAAAAUGAUUAAAAGAUUAAAUUACCUUAGGGAUAACAGCGUAAUUUUUUUAAGAGCUCUAAUCAAAAAAAAAGUUUGCGACCUCGAUGUUGGAUUAAGAUUGAUAUUAGGUGUAGGUGCUUAAAUAUUAGGUCUGUUCGACCUUUAAAAUCUUACA